UACGUAGGGGGCUAGCGUUGUCCGGAAUCAUUGGGCGUAAAGAGCGCGUAGGCGGCCAGACAAGUCCGGUGUGAAAGUCACAGGCUCAACCUGUGAAUGCCGCUGGAAACUGUCUGGCUAGAGUCCGGAAGGGGCGAGUGGAAUUCCUGGUGUAGCGGUGAAAUGCGCAGAUAUCAGGAGGAACACCUAUGGCGAAGGCAGCUCGCUGGGACGGUACUGACGCUGAGGCGCGAAAGCUAGGGUAGCAAACGGG
rnacentral:rRNA from 1 species